GGCGGUGAUGGCUCAGCGGUUAAGGUUCUCGGUUAUUGAGCGGAAGGUCAGCAGUUCAAGCCUCAGUACUGCCA